rnacentral:rRNA from 1 species
UUUUGGAAAAAGAAAAGAUUAAAAACCAGUGGGGGGGAAAACCCCGCCAAAAGGUAAAAAGGGGGGGGGAGGUUAAAAUUCCAAAGUUUUGGGGGAAUUUCAAGCUGGGGGAAAAAUGGGUUUGAAGCUUGGGUCAAAGUCCAGUUCGGACUUCGGGUAGCUUUGUGGGGGCACUUUAGCAAAGUGCUAAUAGGCUGCCCGGUGUUUCUUCGGGGCUGAUUUCGCCCAGUGCACUUUUCUCAGAGUGGUCACCACGACCGGCAUUGCUGUCUGUCUGAUGGGGUUAAACCGGUUUUGCAUUGUCCCUGUGGCUUUGUGAGAUCGGGAUGGCAGGUAGCUCGUGGACUUGCUUUUGGUUCGCUGUGAGCGUGGUCUUCGAGUGUAAUCAGCUGACCCCAUUGGUUCUGUGCAGUAUGUCGGAGACGGCGGCUAGUGCACGUGCGUGCAUAGUUGGUUGGCGUGUCCGGGUUUGGUUGUUACGUUGCCUGUGUAUGCAGGCCUGAUGAUGGCUCGGAUUCGUUUGGCUGACUGUUGCGUACGGGUACAAAACGGGGCCGAUAGUCUGUGGUGUAGUGGUAACUAUCCACCUGACCCGUCUUGAAACACGGACCAAGGAGAGUAACAUGUGCGCGAGUCAUUGGGUAUUACGAAACCCAAAGGCGUAGCGAAAGUAAAGGUUUGGCUUGUCCAGACUGAGGUGAGAUCCUGUCGUUUCCUUCGUGGUACUACCAAGCAUCGAGCGAUAGGCGCAUCACCGGCCCGUCCCAUGACAAUUGUUCUUGAACAGUACCCAGUCGAGGCGGAGCAUGAGCGUACAUGUUGAGACCCGAAAGAUGGUGAACUAUGCUUGCGCAGGUUGAAGCCAGAGGAAACUCUGGUGGAGGACCGAAGCGGUUCUGACGUGCAAAUCGAUCGCCAGACGUGAGUAUAGGGGCGAAAGACUAAUCGAACUAUUUAGAGUUUCCCCC